rnacentral:rRNA from 1 species
UCCGUAGGUGAACCUGCGGAAGGAUCAUUAGAGAAGGCGACCCCUUAAGUGCGGGCGCCACCGAGCUUUGGCAGGGUGGGCGUAAAAACCCACCCUACCGGGCACACUCUCACCCUGUGUUAACGUACCUUUGUUGCUUUGGCAGGCCGCGGCCUCCGCUGUGGGCGUAUGCUCACACGUGCCUGCCAGAGAACCCAACUCUUGAUUUUAGUGAUGUCUGAGUACUAUUAAAUAGUUAAAACUUUCAACAACGGAUCUCUUGGUUCUGGCAUCGAUGAAGAACGCAGCGAAAUGCGUUAAGUAAUGUGAAUUGCAGAAUUCAGUGAAUCAUCGAAUCUUUGAACGCACAUUGCGCCCGCUGGUAUUCCGGCGGGCAUGCCUGUUCGAGCGUCAUUAUGACCAACUCACGCUCCGCGUGGUCUUGGGGUCCGCUAACCAGCGGCCCUUAAACGCAGUGGCGGUGCCGUGCGGCUCUCAGCGUAGUAAUUUAUCUCGCUACAGGGUCCGGACGGUGCUGGCCAGCAACCCCAACUAUACUAGGUUGACCUCGGAUCAGGUAGGGAUACCCGCUGAACUUAAGCAUAUCAAUAAGCGGAGGA